rnacentral:rRNA from 1 species
CCUACGGCGCGCUGCAGUGAGGACUAUUGGUCAAUGGACGGAAGUCUGAACCAGCCAUGCCGCGUGCAGGAAGACGGCUCUAUGAGUUGUAAACUGCUUUUGUACAAGGGUAAACCUGAAUACGUGUAUUCAGCUGAAAGUACUGUACGAAUACGGAACGGCUAACUCCGUGCCAGCAUCCGCGGUAAUACGGAGGAUCCCAGCGUUAUCAGGAGUUAAUGGGGUGAAAGGGUGCGGAGGCGGAUUGAUAAGUUAGAGGUGAAAUGUCCGAGCUUAACUCGGGAACUGCCGCUAAUACUGUUGAUCUAGAGAGUAGAUGCGGUAGGCGGAAUGUAUGGUGUAGCGGUGAAAUGCUUAGAGAUCAUACAGAACACCGAUUGCGAAGGCAGCUUACCAAUCUAUAUCUGACGUUGAGGCACGAAAGCGUGGGGAGCAAACAGGAUUAGAUACCCCAGUAGUC